rnacentral:snoRNA from 1 species
UCAACAUGGAUGCCCCAGAAGGUCACUCUCUCUGGACUCUAUCCAAAUGUCAUACAGGAGUACAGGGCUCUGUCCUAUGAUGUACAGUUACUUUCCACAAAACUGGAGAAGCUAGGCUCUGAGUCUCCACCUUUAUAUUCCUACAACUUCUCAGAGUCCUAUGGACAAUGACUGAAGAGACAAACUAUUCAGGAAACAAUG